CGCAGCGAGAGGUGCUUGCACCUUUCAAGCGAGUGGCGAACGGGUGAGUAACACGUGGAUAACCUGCCUCAAGGCUGGGGAUAACAUUUGGAAACAGAUGCUAAUACCGAAUAAAACUUAGUAUCGCAUGAUAUCAAGUUAAAAGGCGCUACGGCGUCACCUAGAGAUGGAUCCGCGGUGCAUUAGUUAGUUGGUGGGGUAAAGGCUUACCAAGACGAUGAUGCAUAGCCGAGUUGAGAGACUGAUCGGCCACAUUGGGACUGAGACACGGCCCAAACUCCUACGGGAGGCUGCAGUAGGGAAUCUUCCACAAUGGGCGCAAGCCUGAUGGAGCAACGCCGCGUGUGUGAUGAAGGCUUUCGGGUCGUAAAGCACUGUUGUAUGGGAAGAAAUGCUAAAAUAGGGAAUGAUUUUAGUUUGACGGUACCAUACCAGAAAGGGACGGCUAAAUACGUGCCAGCAGCCGCGGUAAUACGUAUGUCCCGAGCGUUAUCCGGAUUUAUUGGGCGUAAAGCGAGCGCAGACGGUUGAUUAAGUCUGAUGUGAAAGCCCGGAGCUCAACUCCGGAAUGGCAUUGGAAACUGGUUAACUUGAGUGUUGUAGAGGUAAGUGGAACUCCAUGUGUAGCGGUGGAAUGCGUAGAUAUAUGGAAGAACACCAGUGGCGAAGGCGGCUUACUGGACAACAACUGACGUUGAGGCUCGAAAGUGUGGGUAGCAAACAGGAUUAGAUACCCUGGUAGUCCACACCGUAAACGAUGAAUACUAGGUGUUAGGAGGUUUCCGCCUCUUAGUGCCGAAGCUAACGCAUUAAGUAUUCCGCCUGGGGAGUACGACCGCAAGGUUGAAACUCAAAGGAAUUGACGGGGACCCGCACAAGCGGUGGAGCAUGUGGUUUAAUUCGAAGCAACGCGAAGAACCUUACCAGGUCUUGACAUCCUUUGAAGCUUUUAGAGAUAGAAGUGUUCUCUUCGGAGACAAAGUGACAGGUGGUGCAUGGUCGUCGUCAGCUCGUGUCGUGAGAUGUUGGGUUAAGUCCCGCAACGAGCGCAACCCUUAUUGUUAGUUGCCAGCAUUCAGUUGGGCACUCUAGCGAGACUGCCGGUGACAAACCGGAGGAAGGCGGGGACGACGUCAGAUCAUCAUGCCCCUUAUGACCUGGGCUACACACGUGCUACAAUGGCGUAUACAACGAGUUGCCAACCUGCGAAGGUGAGCUAAUCUCUUAAAGUACGUCUCAGUUCGGACUGCAGUCUGCAACUCGACUGCACGAAGUCGGAAUCGCUAGUAAUCGCGGAUCAGCACGCCGCGGUGAAUACGUUCCCGGGUCUUGUACACACCGACCCGUCACACCAUGGGAGUUUGUAAUGCCCAA
rnacentral:rRNA from 1 species